CUUGUCUUGGUUGGAGAGAAAAGAGCUAGAAAAUGAGUUAUGGGGAAGGUGGUGACGAUGAAGACCUUGGAAGAGAGGAUCAUCAGGGCUGUGGCAGUAGGAAGCUCAGCGAGCGAGGCCUCAGAAAUUCAGCAUCUGUUCUGUCUCCAGGGCUGCCCAGGGAAGAGGCUACACAAACUGGCCAUCACAGUUUCUGGGGCCUCUUGGGGCCUGUGAGCUUUGAAGGACACUCCACAGACAAUUACUGAAUUAAAAAAAAAACUGGGCCAAAUGAUGGGACAGUUAUUUGGCAAGAGACUGAAGUUGCCAGAGGAAUGAAGAAUUAAAACAAGCACAAUUAAAAUAAAUUUACCACCAGGGAUUUCAUAACAUCCCAUCUGCAAGGGGAAGGACAUUUUAAACUUGCAUUUAAACAUCUAGUGCCAACUGGAAUCAAACUUUUGUGUGUGUUCAUUGUAGUAAAGCUGCAUUCCCAUAAUAAUUUCACAUUUCUCCAUGACUUACGGGUUUUAGUGGUGUGCAAAAUGAACUGAGAGUUGAGAAAAUGUGUUUCUUUAUGUUACUAUUCUGAUGCUAUAGUACUUCUCUUCAGAAUUGUUUCGUUUCAAAAUAAUAUUUUAAAAUUGAAAAUGAGUGUUUAUUUAAGAGCUAAAAUAACUUUCAGGGAGACAUGAAUAAGAACAUAAAGAUGUUGUUGAAUAUAUUUUAAUGUAUUGGUAACUUGGCCCUGGAAAUAGUUCCUAUCAUAGGCUUUGUAUGGGGACAAUUUUAUGAGGACAUAUUUUUUAAUGCCUAAAUUAUAAACCUCAGACAAUGUGUCUUAGUGUCCAAAUGAUGGUACAUGAAAUGCUUAAUCCAAUAUUUGAACCUCAAAUAAAAAUUCACUGCAUUAUGCUAUCACUAAUGGUUUUUAAAUUUUCUUUCAUCCAUUUUUUUUCUGAAAAAAUUAAAAGACUAAAACCAGUAUUUACACUUUUAAUUAUUUGUGAGCUACAGGUCUCAACUGUAUCUACUUUUCUUCUAUAAAAUCUUUGAAAAAUGAAAAACAUUAAAAGCUUUUGAAAAUCA